GAUGAACGCUGGCGGCGUGCCUAAUACAUGCAAGUCGAGCGAACAGACGAGGAGCUUGCUCCUCUGACGUUAGCGGCGGACGGGUGAGUAACACGUGGAUAACCUACCUAUAAGACUGGGAUAACUUCGGGAAACCGGAGCUAAUACCGGAUAAUAUAUUGAACCGCAUGGUUCAAUAGUGAAAGACGGUUUUGCUGUCACUUAUAGAUGGAUCCGCGCCGCAUUAGCUAGUUGGUAAGGUAACGGCUUACCAAGGCAACGAUGCGUAGCCGACCUGAGAGAGUGAUCGGCCACACUGGAACUGAAACACGGUCCAGACUCCUACGGGAGGCCGCAGUAGGGAAUCUUCCGCAGUAGGCGAGAGCCUGACGGAGCAACGCCGCGUGAGUGAUGAAGGUCUUCGGAUCGUAAAACUCUGUUAUUAGGGAAGAACAAAUGUGUAAGUAACUAUGCACGUAUUGACGGUACCUAAUCAGAAAGCCACGGCUAACUACGUG
rnacentral:rRNA from 1 species